rnacentral:rRNA from 1 species
CGAGUUUGAUCCUAGCUCAGAAUGAACGCUAGAAAUAUACAUUACACAUGCAAAUUUAUGAUUAUAUCAUAGUGAAUAGGUGAGGAUAUAUAAAUUUUUAAUUUUAAAUAGAUUAUAAUAUAUAAUAAUCUAUAAGCGCAUUUAUUUAUAUAAUUGUACUAUAUUAAAAAUUAUUAUUGUUUAAAAUAAAAUUUAUAUUUGAUUAACUAGUUGGUAAAAUAAAAGCCUACCAAGGUUAUGAUCAAAAAUUGGUUUUAAAGAAUGUACAAUCACAUUAGGAUUGAAAUAAAGCCUAAAUUUUUUUUAAAUCAGCAGUGAGGAAUAUUUUACAAUGAGCGUAAGCUUGAUAAAGUAAUAUUUCUUAAAGGAUGACAGUAUAUUUUUAUAUUGUAAACUUUAUAUUUUAUUUUUAAAUAUUGAUAAAAAUAAAACAUUAGUAUUUGCUAAUUUCUGUGCCAGCAGCAGCGGUAAUACAGAAAAUACAAGCGUUAUUCACUUUAUUUGGCGUAAAGCGUUUUAAGGUUUUAUAUUAAUUUUAUUUUAAAAUAUUUAAUUUAAAUUUGAAUAAAAAAUAAAUAAUAAUAUAAUAAGAGUAUUAUAAAAGUAUUAAGAAUUUUUUGAGAAGUAGUGAAAUGCAAUGAUACAAAAAAGAAUACCAAAGGCGAAGGCAUAAUACUAUAUAAUAACUGACACUUAUAAACGAAAGCUAAGGUAGCAAAUAGGAUUAGAUACCCUAGUAGUCUUAGCUGUAAACUAUGAAUAUUUUAUAUUUAUAUAUUAAUAUAAAUAUAAUAACUAACGUAAUAAAUAUUCCGCCUGAGUAGUAUAUUCGCAAGAACGAAAUUCAAAGGAAUUGACGGGAGCUUAUACAAGUGGUGGAACAUGUGGCUUAAUUCGAUGCAACACGAUAAACCUUACCAAAAUUUAACAAUAUUUUUAUUAUUAAGGAAUUAAUAGUUUAAUAAAAUAUAUAGGUAGUGCAUGGCUGUCGUCAGUUCGUGCUGUGAAGUAUUAAUUUAAGUAUUAUAACGAACGUAACCUUUUAUAAAAAAAAUUUUUUAUAAUAUAUUUAUUAAAUAUAUAAAAAAGACUACGUCAAGUCAUUAUGCUCCUUAUAUUUUGGGCUGCUCACGUGUUACAUAAAAUAUAACAAUAUUUUAUUAUAUGAAAAUAUAAUAUAUUAAAUAUAUUUAUAGUUCUGAUUAUAAAUUGAAACUCAUUUAUAUGAAGAUGGAAUCACUAGUAAUCGCUAAUAAGAAGUAUAGCGGUGAAUAAGUUCUUAAGCUUUGUACACACCGCCCGUCACAUCUGGAAAAUAUUAUAUUAUAUAAAAAUUAUUGUAAAAUAAUAAUAUAUAAUUAUAUAAUUUAGAUGAAGUCGUAACAAGGUAGCCGUACUGGAAGGUGCGGCUG